CAAAAUAUUUCAUAAGAUCUUCAAAUCCUCACAAGAUCAUUUACAAUCUUGCAAAAUCCUCUCUCACUCCUCACUCACCAUUUUCGACCACCCCUCUCUCUCCCACAUCUCUCACUUUCCUCCAUUGAAGAGACCUUCGGAGCUUCCAAAAAUUUUACAAAACACCUCAAUCCACUCUAAAAUCUUCCAUAAACACAUCCUAGCUACUUAUAUUCAAGAGAAUCAUUGAAGGAGGGCUUCAAAGCUAGAGUGAGAAAGUGUGAGUCUUGGUAAGAAUUUGGGCCCGAGCGAGACGAAGAAGUAAGUUGUCUGAUUUCUUUCCAGGAUUAGCGAAGGACUUCAGGUGGGCAAUAUUUUGAGUAUACAUAUAUCAUACGAGCUUUCUAAACUGUUUUGAUGAUGUUAUGAGUUUAUCAAAUGUUUUGAGAUAAAUGAUGUUUGAGAACUGUUUGACUUGCCGAUUUUUGUUGAUAAUGACUUGUGUGUUACCCUCUACUGAUGAGAUGAAUUCGGUCCUGCCACAAGCGGGAUUUUGUGCACAGAGGUGACUGCGAGCCGUCUUCGGGUCGGCCGGUCACGGUACUUGAGAGGGAGGCCUACUUCUCAGUACCUUUGAUAUUGUUGUGUUGUAGAUGUGGUGCAUACAUGUUGAGAUCUUUGACUGCAGUCGUUUCCUUAUGAUAUCAUGUUUAUUAAAACUGCUUACACAGGUUCAUUUACGCUAAACUUAUUCCUGUGUAUUGCUGAGAUGUGGCAAGUUUCAAACCUAUAGCUCUAAGAGCACCUUUCUUGUUUUUCGGCGUUUGCCCACUGAGUAUUAUGUACUCACGCCCUGCAUGUAUUUCUAAAUGUGCAGGCUAAGCGAGGAGCGAGAUUGGUCUGGUGCUGGUGGGGAUUUAUUUAGCUGAUGUAUUUACUUUAUCGCAUUUCCUUUUUGUCGAUAAAGUCUUGAUGAAUGAGAUACUUUGUUUUCUUUUGAAUCAAGCAAUGUACUAGCGGUUAUAUGUCUUCAUACAUAUAAUCGAUUCGCCUUUUGCUGCGAUACUCUGAAUAUUAUGAUUCCUUAUGAAAAAUGAGUUAUACCCGCUUUGUUUU